GGCUCGACGAAUCAGCUGAACGCAACGAGAAGACGCAGAGCCAGCAACUCGCGAGAUGAGAGGAAAAGAGAUACUGUAUUACACUUGCAGCUCUCUGUGCGCGCUAGUGUAGAUCUGUCUCCAUGUAGACUAUUACACUGAAAUUCAAUCUCGAUUGAAGCACAACGACUGCGAACUUUCUGCGAUCUAAUGGAAAUUUAAAUCUUGAUUCGUGUCUAUAAAAGCGACGAUGGAAAGAGUUUCGAACAAGUUAUUGAAUUUGAAUAUGCCCUACAUAUUCGAAAAGCAAACAUAUAGGAAAUGACAAGCUUUUACGCGAAUAUAAUUUUGCUGGAUAAGAACAAUCAUUAUUACGCUGCAUUACGUAUUUCGCUAGAUAAGAAUAUGCAAACCACUUAAAUCACGUAAACACGCAUGGAUUAUAUACCAAAAGAACGGCGUGAUAUUGAACAACAAUAUUUCUUCGUAUUUCAAAUCAUAUUUUUAUUUAUACUCUAUAAUAUUUAUAUAUGUAUAGGACUGAAGAUUUGACAGAUAAGUUUUGAGUUAAUUUCAUUUUUAAUUUUAGCAUGAUAGAGAUUUUUCCAAGAAGCCUUGCUUGGUACAAUAUUGUUUAUAAUAAAGAAUAAUUUAAGUAACAAUCAUUUAAGAGAAUUUUAUACUGGAUGUACAAAUAUAUGAAACAUUCUUUUAAUCCUACUGGCAUGAUCUCGGAAAAAGUUCUUUUUUUAUACCCUUUCGUGUGUGUGUGUGUGUGUGUGUGUGUGUGUACCAAAA